rnacentral:lncRNA from 1 species
UCUCUUUACGUCACAUGGUCAAACCCUAUUUACAUUCAUAGCUCUUUUUCGUUUUUCUCCAACGCACACCUAUGGUUCAUGCAAAAGUUUCUUUAUAUACACUCAUUCACACACACAAGAAUCCCUCUACACGUAUUUUUUAUAAAAAUCCUUCUAUGCACAUUUUCCUUUUUCUUUAUAUACGCGGACAUUUUAUUCACU